rnacentral:rRNA from 1 species
CCCGGGGAACUGAAACAUCUAAGUACCCGGAGGAAGAGAAAGCAAAUGCGAUUCCCUGAGUAGCGGCGAGCGAAACGGGAUCAGCCCAAACCAAGAGGCUUGCCUCUUGGGGUUGUAGGACACUCUGUACGGAGUUACAAAGGAACGAGGUAGAUGAAGAGGUCUGGAAAGGCCCGCCAUAGGAGGUAACAGCCCUGUAGUCAAAACUUCGUUCUCUCCUGAGUGGAUCCUGAGUACGGCGGAACACGUGAAAUUCCGUCGGAAUCCGGGAGGACCAUCUCCCAAGGCUAAAUACUCCCUAGUGACCGAUAGUGAACCAGUACCG